rnacentral:tRNA from 1 species
UCCCUGGUGGUCUAGUGGUUAAAACUCUGCACUUCCACUGCAGAGGGGCACAGGUUCAAUCCCUGCUCAGGGGA